ensembl:lncRNA
AAGAAAUAAAAACUAUGUGGUGCUAUUCAGUUAUUUAAAAAGGCUGAGUCAGUAAGGAGAUGGGUGAACUCUGUAGAUGGCACUACUUCAGUCAGAACAGAAAAUUCAAUGCAUUCCUAGCAAGUGUUAACUUUUUUUUUUUUUUUUUGAACAAUUGAGCCAUAAGAACAAUGGGACAAAUCUACAAAUACUUGCACAGAGCAGUUCUCCAGUGUGAUUUGCAGUUUUUGCAUGGCUGAGAACUCCAAGAAAGUAUAAUAUUUAUGCCAUUUGCUUUACGUGGAUGGAAACAGAAACCAGAACAUGAAAGGACUAGAACACGUCAGAAAUUUUGCCUUUAAAUUUAUGUUCUUGCAAAUACAAGGGAGGAAAAGAAGCAUUUGAUAUAUUUACAGCCCUUAUACAGGGUAUGUUUGAUAUGGAUCAGAAGUACACCAAGAUUCACAUUUGUCUGAAGCAUAGACGACGGAAGUUACAGUCCAAGAGUUUGAUAUUUUAUUUCUGUGAAACAAACCCUUUAUUAUCACUAACCCUUGGUUUGUGCACUUGUGUCCUGUGUUGACACUCACUGUGAUGGGAAAGAAUGAAGCAGAAAAAUGAUGCAACUCAUUUAAAGAAGGCUUGGCAGUGCCAGACACAGAAACUAGAUCUGAUACCCAAGCCACUGCCUUAACUUUGCUGUCAUUGCCCUUUCAACUUCAUGCUAUGCAAUAAGCAUUCAAGCUGCGUACACAUACAAAGAAAAUCUUCACUUGCUUUUAAAAAAAAGAUGCCUAAACUAAUAGGUUCAUAGCUGGACACCAAGUGUGCCAAAUAUUCAGGACAUCUUUAUGCAUGAAAUUUUAUGACAGCAGUGCAUCGUUUGACUUUUUUUUUCCUUUUUUAAUAAGAACUUCUAUUUAGGUAUGCUAUGUAGAAGUAUUGCAGAAAAGAAAAAUGUUUUGUGAAAAGAAAAAUAAACUGCUCCUGUUUCAGUGGUGUGUGUAUCUAUCUGAGAUUGAUAUUUAUUUCUACUCAUUUACCAAUGUUUCAAAAAAAUAUAUGCUUGGACUAGACCCUACAAAAUAUGUGAAUUUGAACAUUGGAUCUCAAGCUUUUUCAUCAGUUCAUUGACUAUC